GUGCUUGCUUCAGCAUCACAUAUAUUAAAAUUUGAAUAAUAUAAGACUAGCAUGGCCCCUGUUUUGGGAUGGCAUGAAAAUGCAUGACAUGUUUCAUGUUUUU
ensembl:snRNA U6 U6 spliceosomal RNA